rnacentral:lncRNA from 1 species
CCCGGUCCAGAAUCCUGGAUUUACUUUUUUUUUUUUUUUCCACGAGGAAGAAUGCUCGAUUAGACUGCAUUUUGCCCUGCUUUUCUCUCUCUCUCUCUUCCCUUUCUUUCUUUCUCUUUCUUUUCUCUCUCUCUUUUCUUCCUGCCAGAGGAUUGGAAACAAUAUCUUUUUCCGAUCAGUUCAGUAAUACAAUGUCCUUCAGUGUUCACACGAGCAUUUCAGUGGAGAAGAAAAGAAACUUUGCUACCUGGGAACAGAAGACUACUUAGGUCUGCUAAUAAAGUCCUUAGGACUUCUGGAGCCAGAAGUUAAACUUUUCUCAACUGUUAAGUAGAGAUGCUGGUGUCCCACAUCCUGUUGGUCUCGUCUCUCCGGGACUGUGGCCCUCCAGGAGAAAUUCCCUUCUGAAGGAGAAGCAACAGCCUAGAGGACCUCUUAGAAAGGACCGCAUCAUCAGCUAAGGAGGAAAAGUAACAAAGAACUUGAAGACUUUCAUGGCUCCCAGGCCCUGGAUGGAGGCAGACGGCAUCAGGCAGCUUCAGACAGAGAAUGGUGGAAGCUGAGGGGCAGCUAGGAUGCGCCUGGGGCUGCAAAGCCCAGACUUGUCUUUGGAAAAGACUCAGAAGAGCCCGUUAACUUGGCUUCCUCACUUCUGCUCAUCAUACGCGGGUGAAUGGUUUGAAGAUGCUGGCCUAGCAAGAUGGCAACAGGUUUAAAACACUGGAUUCAUAAGAAGUUCCUUUUUUCAGGUAACUACAUUUUUCUAAAAUUUCUCCCAAACUUUCCAUUUUCUCAAGUUAUUACAAGUUUUUAGAGUAUGCUUGAAUGAUUUAAUUAUGAAGAUUAACUGCAUUUUAAGCUUUGUUUUUCUGACAAUAGCAACCAGCUUUAUAAUAUUCAAUGAAAAGAACGUUCAAUUCUUUGGAGUUCAGAAAAAUAUUUUGAAAGUUAUUAUUUAAUAGUGCUUAUUUCUUUUGACAACAAUUUAGGCAAAACUCAUUUGAAACCAUCAGGUGUCAUUCUGAAACUCUGUGGCUAUCUCCAGUAAUUGUACUUAAAACUAUUGGAAGAUUGCUUCCAAAAAGCCUAGUGUAUGCUCUGAAUUCCUGGAAGAUACGGCUUCUAAAAAUUGCGUAAUAAUUGAUGCCUUGUAACAUAAUAAUUGCAUAAUGGUUGAUGUUUUAACUUUAGUCCUAGAAGAGUGAUCUUAUAUGUCUGGAAUUUUAUAAAACUGUGCUUACGCAGGUCCAGUGACAAAGAUUUGAGCCCAGCUAUCAUGAUAUAAGGAGAUCGUUUUCGAUGCUGUUGGAGGACUUUGUGCCACUUAAAUAUGUUUAAUAACACAAAUGAUAUAUUUACUUGAUGAAUUACCUUACCCUGCAUUUACCAUUGUUUUUAACUA